AUUGAACGCUGGCGGCAUGCUUUACACAUGCAAGUCGAACGGUAACAGGGAGCUUGCUCCGCUGACGAGUGGCGAACGGGUGAGUAAUGCGUCGGAACGUGCCGAGUAGUGGGGGAUAACGCAUCGAAAGGUGUGCUAAUACCGCAUACGUACUGAGGUAGAAAGUGGGGGACCUUCGGGCCUCACGCUAUUCGAGCGGCCGACGUCUGAUUAGCUAGUUGGUGAGGUAAAGGCUCACCAAGGCGACGAUCAGUAGCGGGUCUGAGAGGAUGACCCGCCACACUGGGACUGAGACACGGCCCAGAAUCCUACGGGAGGCAGCAGUGGGGAAUUUUGGACAAUGGGCGCAAGCCUGAUCCAGCCAUGCCGCGUGUCUGAAGAAGGCCUUCGGGUUGUAAACUGCUUUUGUACAGAACGAAAAGGUCUCUAUUAAUACUGGGGGCUCAUGACGGUACUGUAAGAAUAAGCACCGGCUAACUACGUGCCAGCAGCCGCCGUAACAC
rnacentral:rRNA from 1 species